CUAAGGCACAUGCCUUCCAACCCAACCCACCUCCUUUCUGAAGACUAAUCCACCAAGAGAGAGGGGAGGUGGGCUGAGGCUAGGUCUGUGUCAGAAGAAGGGACUGAGAACCACGGAGACAGAGGGAAGGGGGUCACCAAGCCUGCUUUGCAGAGUCAGCUACGAUCUCACACAUGGUAAUUCCCAGUCAAGUCCUGAGUUUGCUCAAUAAAGCAAGGCAUGAGUACUGGAGUGAGUUGCCAUUUCCUUCUCCAGAGGAUCUUCCCGACCCAGGGAUUGAACCCGGGUCUCCUGCAUUGCAGGCAGACGCUCUAACAUCUGAG
ensembl:lncRNA